GACGAACCGAGCGAACGUUGUUCGGAAUCACUGGGCUUAAAGGGCGCGUAGGCGGUUUGGACAGUCAGAUGUGAAAUUCCUGGGCUCAACCUGGGGGCUGCAUUUGAUACGUUCGGACUAGAGUGGGGAAGAGGGUCGUGGAAUUCCCAGUGUAGAGGUGAAAUUCGUAGAUAUUGGGAAGAACACCGGUGGCGAAGGCGGCGACCUGGUCCUUGACUGACGCUGAGGCGCGAAAGCGUGGGGAGCAAACAGG
rnacentral:rRNA from 1 species